rnacentral:rRNA from 1 species
GGCGUUGAAGCAGUGUACGUCAGACUUCCAAGAAAAGCUCGCAAUGUCACAAAUAAGAAAUGCCUGUACCAUAACCGACACAGGUGGGUAGGUAGAGUAUACUAAGGGGCGCGAGAUAACUCUCUCUAAGGAACUCGGCAAAAUGACUCCGUAACUUCGGGAGAAGGAGUGCCUUAUUUAUAAGGUUGCAAUAACAAGAUCCAAGCAACUGUUUAUCAAAAACACAGGUCUCCGCUAAGUCGUAAGACGAUGUAUGGGGGCUGACGCCUGCCCAGUGCCAGAAGGUUAAAGAAGUUGGUUAGUGUAUGCGAAGCUGAUGACUGAAGCCCUGGUGAACGGCGGCCGUAACGAUAACGGUCCUAAGGUAGCGAAAUUCCUUGUCGGGUAAGUUCCGACCCGCACGAAAGGCGUAAUGAUUUGGAUACUGUCUCGGAGAGAGGCUCGGUGAAAUAGACUUGUCUGUGAAGAUGCGGACUACCUGCACCAGGACAGAAAGACCCUAUGAAGCUUUACUGUAACUUGAAAUUGGAAUUGGACUUUGCUUGCGCAGUAUAGGUGGGAAGCGUUGAAGAUAUUCUUGCGGGAGUAUUGGAGCUAUCAGUGAGAUACCACUCUUGUAAUGUUAGAUUUCUAACUUUGAACCAUAAUCUGGUCAAAGAACAGUUUCAGGUGGGCAGUUUGACUGGGGCGGUCGCCUCCCAAAUGGUAACGGAGGCGUACAAUGGUUUCCUCUGAACGGAUAGAAAUCGUAUCUAGAGUGUAAAGGCAUAAGGAAGCUUGACUGUGAGACCUACAAGUCGAGCAGGGACGAAAGUCGGUCUUAGUGAUCUGACGGUACUGAGUGGAAAGGCCGUCACUCAACGGAUAAAAGUUACUCUAAGGAUAACAGGCUGAUCUCCCCCAAGAGUUCACAUCGACGGGGAGGUUUGGCACCUCGAUGUCGGCUCAUCGCAUCCUGGGGCGGUAGUACGUCCCAAGGGUUGGGCUGUUCGCCCAUGAAAGCGGUACGCGAGCUGGGUUCAGAACGUCGUGAGACAGUUCGGUCCAUAUCCGGUGUAGGCGUUAGAAUAUUGAGAGGAGCCUUCUUUAGUACGAGAGGACCGAGAAGGACACACCGCUGGUGUACCAGUUAUCGUGCCAACGGUAAACGCUGGGUAGCUAUGUGUGGAGUGGAUAACCGCUGAAAGCAUCUAAGUGGGAAGCCCACCUCAAGAUGAG